AAGAGUGCCAACUUACAAUAAAAAGAGCUAUAACCAGCUCUAAGUAAAACAGCAUACAGUGGUAUUUAAACUCCCCACAUGUAGGAUAUCCUUCUGGUGAUGUAUGGAGUGCAGGAUUUAUGAAAGACAAAAGCACAAAAGAGAGCCCACAGUGUUCUCAGUAGAUAAAAUUGGUGCUAAAAGGUAAAAUGAAACGUACUUACAGUGUAUAGAGCAGCCACACUGCUCUAUGAACCAGGCGUGAGUGGAAUAAUCC